CGACGGGGGGAGCAAGGCGUUGUUCGGAAUCACUGGGCGUAAAGGGCGUGUAGGCGGUUGGGUAAGUGGAAUGUGAAAUGCCCCGGCUCACCCGGGGACCGGCAUUCCAAACUGCUCAGCUCGAGUAUGGGAGAGGAUGAGGGAAUUCCUGGUGUAGCGGUGAAAUGCGUAGAUAUCAGGAGGAACACCGGUGGCGAAAGCGCUCAUCUGGCCCAAUACUGACGCUGAGGCGCGAAAGCUAGGGGAGCAAACGGG
rnacentral:rRNA from 1 species